rnacentral:sRNA from 1 species
AUCUACUCUUGUUCUU